rnacentral:rRNA from 1 species
GCAGGCCUAACACAUGCAAGUCGAACGGUAACAGGAAGCAUCUUGCUGCUUUGCUGACGAGUGGCGGACGGGUGAGUAAUGUCUGGGAAACUGCCUGAUGGAGGGGGAUAACUACUGGAAACGGUAGCUAAUACCGCAUAACGUCGCAAGACCAAAGAGGGGGACCUUCGGGCCUCUUGCCAUCGGAUGUGCCCAGAUGGGAUUAGCUAGUAGGUGGGGUAACGGCUCACCUAGGCGACGAUCCCUAGCUGGUCUGAGAGGAUGACAGCCACACUGGAACUGAGACACGGUCCAGACUCCUACGGGAGGCAGCAGUGGGGAAUAUUGCACAAUGGGCGCAAGCCUGAUGCAGCCAUGCCGCGUGUAUGAAGAAGGCCUUCGGGUUGUAAAGUACUUUCAGCGGGGAGGAAGGGAGUAAAGUUAAUACCUUUGCUCAUUGACGUUACCCGCAGAAGAAGCACCGGCUAACUCCGUGCCAGCAGCCGCGGUAAUACGGAGGGUGCAAGCGUUCAUCGGAAUUACUGCGCCUAAAGCGCACGCAGGCGGUUUGUUAAGUCAGAUGUGAAAUCCCGGGGCUCAACCUGGGAACUGCAUCUGAUACUGGCAAGCUUGAGUCUCGUAGAGGGGGGUAGAUUUCCAGGUGUAGCGGUGAAAUGCGUAGAGAUCUGGAGGAAUACCGGUGGCGAAGGCGGCCCCCUGGACGAAGACUGACGCUCAGGUGCGAAAGCGUGGGGAGCAAACAGGAUUAGAUACCCUGGUAGUCCACGCCGUAAACGAUGUCGACUUGGAGGUUGUGCCCUUGAGGCGUGGCUUCCGGAGCUAACGCGUUAAGUCGACCGCCUGGGGAGUACGGCCGCAAGGUUAAAACUCAAAUGAAUUGACGGGGGCCCGCACAAGCGGUGGAGCAUGUGGUUUAAUUCGAUGCAACGCGAAGAACCUUACCUGGUCUUGACAUCCACGGAAGUUUUCAGAGAUGAGAAUGUGCCUUCGGGAACCGUGAGACAGGUGCUGCAUGGCUGUCGUCAGCUCGUGUUGUGAAAUGUUGGGUUAAGUCCCGCAACGAGCGCAACCCUUAUCCUUUGUUGCCAGCGGUCCGGCCGGGAACUCAAAGGAGACUGCCAGUGAUAAACUGGAGGAAGGUGGGGAUGACGUCAAGUCAUCAUGGCCCUUACGACCAGGGCUACACACGUGCUACAAUGGCGCAUACAAAGAGAAGCGACCUCGCGAGAGCAAGCGGACCUCAUAAAGUGCGUCGUAGUCCGGAUUGGAGUCUGCAACUCGACUCCAUGAAGUCGGAAUCGCUAGUAAUCGUGGAUCAGAAUGCCACGGUGAAUACGUUCCCGGGCCUUGUACACACCGCCCGUCACACCAUGGGAGUGGGUUGCAAAAGAAGUAGGUAGCUUAACCUUCGGGAGGGCGCUUACCACUUUGUGAUUCAUGACUGGGGUG